rnacentral:rRNA from 1 species
CACGUAGGGCGCAAGCGUUGUCCGGAGUUACUGGGCGUAAAGGGCAUGCAGGCGGUCGGACGCGUUUCGGGUGACAGCGGGUGGCUUAACUACCCGAGUGGUCGAAAGACGGUUUGACUUGAGGACGCGAGAGGGACACGGAAUUCCGGGUGGAGUGGUGAAAUGCGUAGAGAUCCGGAGGAACACCGAAGGCGAAGGCAGUGUCCUGGCGCGUAACUGACGCUGAGGUGCGAAAGCCAGGGGAGCGAACGGG